GUUACACAGAUGUAUUUCUAUGAUCUCAGUGAUGCUUAUCUAUAAAGUAAUAGAUAACAUUUUUGGACCCCUUGCUAUGGGACAAAUAUUCUAACCAGUGUGUAUGGAUUGAGUAAGGCUUUUUGGGGGUUUUUUUGUUAAAAAAUUUUGGCUUUCAAACUUUUGAAGUAAAUGCAGAUGUAAAAACUUGUGGCACAAAGAGGUGAAGUUAUUUUCACAACGUACAUCAAGUAAGUGGGGGAACAGGAAUAGGAGCCCCAGGCCGGCUGAGUGCCAUUUUGCUGUAGUCCAGACAAGACAAGCAUCUUUGACUAAGCAGAGAGAAUGCAGUUAGUUUAGCACUGUGUAUUCUCUGGGACCCCUAGCUCACCCCCAGCUACCCUAACUCUAACUACUGUGUCUUCAUUGCUGAUUUUCUCCAGAUGUUUCAAACCUAUUAUCUCAAUUGGAUAGGUAUUCUCAGGUGACAUUAUCAUGCACAAAGCCGGGAAAUAUUCCUGAAAAUCAAUGCAAUGAUAAACAAAGACCUAGAAGACAUUGGUGUUCCAGGCUGAGAGAAGUGACACCCUGUGUGCCUUUAACCUUUUGAGCAGACCUUUGAAGGCCCCAGGACGCCUUUAUCAGCUUUGCAGUGCUGCGCCCAGGAGGAGGCACAGAUGGGCAAGUGCUGGAUGGAUGUGAUGCAGAGAAGUCAAAAUCACGGCAAAUACCUCUGUGCCUUCUAUUACUUCCCGAGGGCCCCGAAUGGGUGACUUAACAUUGCUCUGGAGGUCACAAGUCUGAAAUUGAGGAUCCCCAGAGCCGUGAUACCUCAGAAGCCCCUAGAGGAGCAUCCUUCCUUGGUCUUUUAAAAACUUGUUAUAUUUAAUUGGCAAAUAAUAAUUGUAUAUAUUAAUGAGGCACAGUAUGAUGUUUUGGUGUAUGUUCCCAUUGCUGAACGAUUAAAUCAGCUAAUUAACAUAUCUGUCAUCUCAUCUCAUAUUACUUGUUCCACAGCUCCAUACUCCAUUCAUUGGUCAUAGCCACCUUCCUUGACUUUUCUCUCCUUCCUUCCCAUCCAUCACUUGAGUUUGCACAGACAUUCGAGUCACACCAGCACACUCAGCCUUCUCUCUGACACGGCACCGUUGCUGUAUCCCUCCACUCAGUGAUCAUUUCUGGGAAAAGAUUUUCAAAAUGAGCCGUGUUUGUUCACUCUGAAACCACAUUCGUUCUGCUCUCAAAACUCCAGGCGAAACAGGACCUUUGAGAGAAAUUUUUCAUUAGUUUAUCUCUAUGAAUAAAUAUUCCACAGUAUUGUGCAUUACAUCCUCGGGCUGCCUCCUGCCCAUGCAUUUGCCAGGAAAUUCCCACUAAGUUGAUGUCAGAAUGGGAAAUUAGUGACUAAUAAAAUGAAACAGACAAAAGGAGAAUGCUGAGUUAUGGAGGAAAUGGGAAUGAUAUAUGAAUAUCAUUAGCCAUUCCUUGAAGAACAUUAAUGUGAUUACAUGAAUGUGAAAAUGCUGUGCAGUAUGUCAGAAUUUCACUAGUCACCAGAAAGCUCAGAAGCAGAUGGGCUGUGUGACUGAUGAGUCCAUAACUGUGCUCAUUAAAAAUCUUCACACUUUUAAUUUCUUCACGGCCCCACUACAUUUCAUUCUGAGUAGCUGAAGAAUGAAAUGCAUUUGCUAUUAUGGGUAGAUAGACAACAAUGAGUCAGCUUUAACUUCCUGAGGUGGUCCUGUCCUACCUUUGAAUUCCCGAUGGACAGCUCAGAAGUCCCGGAAAACAUAGGAACUGGCCCGGUCUGCCUGGAGUGCAAGCGAUAGAGCAGGAUGAUCUUCCUUGUGUCUUCCUGGUCUCACAGGACAGCCCGGAUCACUCACUGUACACUUGUGUCUUCCCAGGUUGCUGCACCACAAAUCUCAGGUGUGGAAAGUUGAGCUGACAACUUUGGACUUAAGGUUUGAGAGUCUCUUCGCACUAGUUAAAGCCAAGAGUAAGUCAGUGUAUGAAUGAAAGGUAGGCAGCAGGUAAGAGGAGUCAACAGCUGCAGCAGUGAUUCCAGGAUGGGUAAUGGAAGGUGAAGUGAGUUGCAGAGGUUCUAACUAUGCAGCAGCAGCGGACACAGCAUCUGUAGGUGAACGGCAUGGCUCCAGGUCUGAAAGUUCAGCACUGGCUGAGCUGCCUUCAUGAGAGUGAAACUUUCUUUUCCCCUUAUUGCACACAUCCAUCAGUUUCCUUAUUAACUGAGUAAUUGCAUUCAUUCAUCAGUUUAAGAAAGUGAGCAUUAUCCAUUCAUAAGAGAUACAGCUUCUGAUGUAACUAGCUGCGUGUCCUUUACAUUGCUGGGCCUCAUUAUGUUCAGGCCUCGGCCUUAAAACUGUGAUUACAUGGAACAUUGACUGCUCAGCAGAAGGGGCUGCAGACAAAGAAACACUGAUUGCAGUACUAGUCCUCCUCAGAAGCCCAUAGUCUCACUGUGGAGAUAAAGGCAAACCGCAUACAGAGAAAAAUAACAUCGUAGAUAGAAACUAGUUGAACCCCUUCAGCCAAAGGUACAGCAAUGAGUGUCAGGAUUAAUGGGAAAAGUGCGAAAGCAGUUGGGGUCAGGGAGGUGUCACAGUGAUGUUUGAAGUAGAGAUGGAAAUUUGAGGGGCAGAAAAGAGAAAGACUGAAGGGUCUAGGGAAAAAUUAUUUCAACAACUAUUCAAGGAUUAGAGCUUAACAUCUUAAAAUAGAUGAGUGGUUUUUGCAAAGGUUCCAUGAGGCCAAAAGAAUUUAUUAGCAGUGCCAAGCUCUUGAUGUUAGGGGGAACAUGAAACAUCUUCCUUGACUUCCCCAAGAAUUCUGCUCAUAAUCGAAUGGCAUUGCAUUCACAAGAAGGAAUAUUUCAAGUGCCACGUAAAAGAGGGCUGUGUCAGCAUGAAGUAUAAUUGGGAGCUCUCAAGAGAGGAGUUUCAUAAGGUUAGUGGAUGUAUAGGACUUUUAAGCAGGGAGAAGCCUUCAGCAUGGAUCAGAAGAGGCAGACUCAAGGCAGGGAGUUUGCCUCUCGAAGCCAGGUAUGAUAAGGACCUAACCGGAGCAAAGCAGAGAGGGCCAGAAGGAAGGGAUGUGUUUCAUUCUGCAAGGACUCAUGUCUGCGUACAGCGUUCACUGACCUUUUAGGACAAGAAUCACUUUUGUAGUCAUGUGCUGCUAAAUUAUAAGGACAUGGUUGUGUUUUCCUUUUUAGAGCUUUGUAUCUCUUCUCACAGCAUGGUGGUUGCCCCAGAGGAAGUAUUCAAAACACUUGAAUAAAUGAAUGCACAUAAAAUACCCUGAAGAAAGGAGAAACAAAAUUCAGCCUUGCCAGGAGCAGUUUCCUUUCGUCAGACCCUCCUGCGUGCCCCUGCUGCAGCUGGCCGGCCACACAAGGACUGAGAUGCAAGCGCACAUAUCCCUCUCCCCAUGGGCCUUCAAUACAAAGACAAGCGUCCUCAUCAUUUGCACACAGACUCAGAGAGAAGAGGCGAUGUCUGUGUGAAGACAGAGACUAGAGGGAUGGAUCUCAGAGAACGGAGGCAGCAGUGGAAGCCGGAAGAGGCAAAGGGAAGACGUUUCCCUAGGACGUCCAGACGCAGUGCGUGAUUUCAGACUUCCGGACUGCAGAACCCUGAGAGGAUAAAUUUCUGUUGUUUUAAGUUUCAGGUUUGUGGUAAUUUGUUGCAGCGAGCCCAGGAAACAAAUGCACACAUUUACUAUUCAUCGGUAAAUACUAAUAUGAGGCCAAGAGCCCCACAUCCUUAUUUAUGGCACCACAUUCCAAGCCUUCUUGUAUAAAAACAGAAUGAUGGCAGGAAGCAUUCCAGUGGGAAAUAAGGGGAGAGGCUACUGUAACAACAAAAAUAACGCGUGUGAUACUGGCUUUAACUGUGAGGGAGUAACUGUGAGACACACCGGGCGAAGAAGAGGAUGGGUACAGAAGAAGAAGAAAAAGAGGGGUAAAACAGAACACAAAGUACAGAGAAAGAAAAGCAAUGCCGCCUUCUCCCCACUCCGGGCUCCCCCUGCCCUUUAGGGCUCUUCACUGGUGACCACUCAAGGGGAAGUGGAAGGAGAUGGGAAGAGACCUGUUAAGAAAGAGGAGCCACCGAUAUUUCAAACUUGGGCUCAGGACAGGGCAGAGCUGCUUUGUCAUCCGUCUUCCCAGGGUGGAGAGACUGAGAUAUUGGGGCUCCUGUCGUCAUUGGAACCAAGGAGAGCUGGCUCUCACUGUUCAGUCCACCAGAUUGCACCGUUCCUGCCUCAUAUCUGACAUAUAUCACCCUUUCUCCUUUCUUUUGCUCAGCUGCCGAUUGGAAAGCUAAGAGAAAUAUUAGGUAGACUAUGACACCACCGUAAUCACAGCACUCAUAAUCUCUGCUGUAACAACAUUUUUCUGCAUGCAUUUGUGACUUGUCACUUCUACAGAGCAUUUAUUUAGUAGUAAAUUUAUUUUCUACUCAUCAG